rnacentral:tmRNA from 1 species
GGGUCCGUAAAGGUUUCGACAGGUUGGCGAAAGCUACUCUGUGAUACAGGUCGAGAGUGAGUCUCCUCUCGGAAAUCAAAGGCUCAAAAAAAUAGUAAAUGCGAACAAUAUCGUAAAAUUUGCUCGUAAGGAAGCCCUUGUUGCUGCCUAAUAGCCUCUUUCAGGUCCGAGCGUCUCUGAUUUGACUCCGUUAAGGAUUAGAGACCAACCCCCAACGGAUGCACUAACAAGAGUUCUCUGGUUGACUUGUUAGUUAAGACUUAAUCAGAGCAUCCUACGUUCGGGACAAUGAACGCUUCCCGCCUUGAGGGUCAAAAAGGCUAAACCUGUGAACGAGCGGGGGGUUAAUACCCAAUUUGGACAGCAGUUCGACUCUGCUCGGAUCCACUU